GCAAGUGCCGUCCUAGCCCCGCCGCGUUUUUACGCAUCUGCAUCUUCCCGCGGAGCAGGUCCCAGAACUUUCUCGGUCAGGCAGGCUGGAAGGAGCACACCUGGGGGUCCAACCGACCUAUUCCUGGAGGGAGCCUCCUCUCCUUCUGGGGUGCUGAGACUUUGUGGAAGUGAAUUUAGAAGCCGCCGGGCAGGCCAGACCCUUCACUGUCUCCCGAGAGGUGCAGAAAAUGAACACAUCUCAGCUUACGUUCAGGUGAUGGAAGAUGAUUAAAAGACUUUGUUAUUUGAUAAUCGACAUAGAAGAAAUGAAACAAGGAACGCGUUGUGAAGGAUCGAUUUUAAUUUUUAAUAAGUUGAUCAGAUACGCGUCUCUGAGAAAAUAUUUGGAGACAGCAUUUGACAAGUGUGGGGAAAGAAGCCUUGCUGGUGUCUACAGAAGAACACUUCAUGCUGAGGAAACUGCCAGUGCAAGGACCCUGAGGCAGAGUGGUACCCGAGGCGUCCUGCCAACAGCAAGAACAGAGGGCCAGUAUGGCUGAAGGGGUGAAAGAGGACAGAUCACGUGGGGCCUUGAAGGCCAUCACGCUUGUCACGCACGUAAUACAUUUGAGAUCGUCCCUGCUGUUGCGUGUGUCAGUCCCAUUGCGUGGCUCUGUCACAAUUUGUUGAUCUGUGUACCGGUUGGACAUUUGUGUUGCUCCCAGCUUCUGGCCUUGUGAAUAAAGCUGCUUGAAUGUUCAUUUUUCAGUC